CUAAUUCCACUGCCCCCAUGGAUCUGCCUCUCUCUCGGUAGCGGCAGUGCAGGAUCCUCCCGCUAGGGUGGCGCCUUUUGCCACCAAGCUUUCUCCGCCCGCAUCUGACCUCGUGAAUCCCACUCCUAAAUGUGAAUGGGAACGCGGAGUAUGGAAAGCAGGGGCGGAGCGCGGAUCAACUUGUCGGGGUCAUCUCAGGCACGGUGAGCGUUUCCGACCCAAACCCUAUCACUGAUCUCGAAAGGAAGUUCCAGCGAGCUGAGAGAUUUGGCGUGUAGGUGCUGCUUUCCAAAGAGGAGAAGUAAACCCUCGGGCGCCUCUCUUCCACCUCCUCGCAUUCUCGAUUCCGAUCAGCGUUCUCUGCUCUUCCAUCGAUAUGCCAAGAAGAUACAAUGGAGCCACCAUCGUUGGAGGCAAUACUAUAUAGUGUCACUGAGUUGGGCCUUGUAUCUUCCAGCAGCAAUGUAAAGCUUGAAAUACUUCUGAGAUACUGUCAAAUCGAUCACAUCCUUAAGAAUUUUAAACUAAUAUGUGAUGAAAUUGUUGCUUCCGUUAUAUCU